CUCGGCCUGCAGGCAGUGAGCAGCUUCUCUCCUGUUGCAGUGUUUCCCUGCAACGGUGCCGGCUUUCCUUGGAGUUUGGUGACGAUUGAUAUGGAUGUGGCUUUGUGGUUGGCUGCCUGCCCAGCUCCCAGGGGCGAGGGGCUCCUCCUGCCCCAGCCCUGCCUGUCAGUGCCCCCGCCUGUGGCCCCACCGACCGUCCCAUCCACCCCAUCUGUCCACAUGGAGUUCACACGUGUCUGAGCCCUUCUUGUUCUUCAGGCCGACGCCAGCCCAGCCCCGGAACUGAUCUCAUCUUGCAGGAGUUUCUGAAAGAGCUGGAGAUGCUUCUACCCCUCCUAGGAAUACUACAGGUUUCUAAACAUAGAGGAAAUGCACCAGCACGUUUUCCUUUAAGCUUCUGAAACCCAGAUAUCAAAAACAAAUAAGUUAACGGGUAAUUAUUUUCUUUACUCGACCCAAGGAUUUAUAUAGAAAGUUUAUAUUAAGAUGGAAUUUCAUCUACAAAAGUUUGAUGUGCCUAGAUUUUAUUUUAUUUUAUUUAUUUUAUGACAGAGUUUUGCUCUUGUUGUCCAGGCUGGAGUGCAAUGGCAAGAUCUCGGCUCACUGCAACCUCAGUCUCCUGGGCUCAAGUGAUUCUCCUGCCUCAGCCUCCUGAGUAGCUGGGAUUACAGGCACCCAUGACCACGCCCAGCUAUUUUUUUGUUUGCUUAUUUAUUUAUUGAGAUGGAGUUUCCAUCUUGUAGCUCAGGCUGCAGUGCAAUGGCAUGAUCUCAGCUCACCACAACCUCUGCUUCCCAGAUUCAAGCGAUUCUCCUGCCUCAGCCUCCCAAGCUAGGAUUACAGGAAUGCACCACCACGCCUGACUAACUUUGUAU
rnacentral:lncRNA from 10 species